CAAAAAGGUGAUUGAUUGAUCGUGGAAAUUGUCCUCGACUUGAUGGGACUGGAGUUUGCUGAAAUCCUAAGCCCACCGCUAGCAACCCAUGACAGAGAGGGAAACUAGAGACGCCAGUAGGAUUUCGGCGAUGUUGGGUAACCACGGAACUUCGGAAAAAUCACUGCACAUCCUGGGUCCGCUUGCCAACGCGUUGACUUUACCCAUGAAAGCGUUUUUAAACACCCAAAUAGGCUACUAACCUUUUGGAUACAAUGUACACAGCCCGAUCACGAAUAACUCCCGCAGCUCCUGCUGGCUCCCGAUGACACGGAUUUGCUUGUCUGAAGAUCAUCCUAUAGAAAAUGAUAAAUGUAUGUGAACGGGCCUGUGCUCCGUAGCGUCGUGGUGUUUCUGCUGUUGGGUGUCUCCUACAGUAAGCGCAGGUGCAACUACACGGAUAUACUCAGCACGUACAGAGAACUAAUCUUCGUUGAACUUCAGAAUUUGCUGCAGCACGUGUUGCGCUCCAUCCAUGGUAUGACGGAGCAAUUCCUGUGUCAGGGCUGGGAUCAGGAACACGGGCGGGGCAGCAGAGAGCAGUGGGCCAUGAAGAAGCCAGUGGAGAUGAUGGCAGUGCUGAUCAGACAGAACUGCAGGCACACUGACCUGGUGAGGAAACAGAAGAGAACAGCGCUGUGUGUGACUGCCCAGAGGACGAAGGGAAAGAACAGGAAGAGGAUGAGACUCAUCAGGGCACUGAUAAACUGUUGGCAGAAGCUGCAGAGUUUGUACACACCCACAAAAUAAUUUGAAAAAAAUAUGUUUUUAUUUUUUAUCAAAAUUGUUUCAAAAAAGCUUAUUUUGUAGAGUAGAAUGACAGUUUGUAUGUCAGGCAUAGGCCUCUGUUUAUGACCUUUUACUUCUUGUCUGUACAGUCCCACAUGUAUAAGCUAUAGGUCACCAUAGAUCAGGGAUGGGCCACUUUGAUGUGGGCGGGGGCCACAAAAAAAACGAACUGAUCAUGCUUACUAUAAGUUUAGAUAACUAGCCGCUAGACUAACUUGCCAAUCUAAAAAGGUUUACCUGACUUGGGCUAAUUAAGUGACUGCUGAUGCACAACCAACCACAUGUUGAAAUUGCACCUUGUGUAAUCUAUUAUUCUAACUCUCAACAGUAAAUUGAGACCCGACUGAGUUCCCCCCAUUAAUUAUGGUUGUUAGAGGAUGGUUUUACAAUGCAGUGAAGAUAUUUACUUGUAAUACCUUGGUGCACACACAUUUUAUAACUCUUAGCUAUCUCACAAUCCAGAUAUUGUUUUUGUGAAACCGAUAGAUACAGUUGUUGUUCUAUGAAAUGUAUUUAAGAUGCCCACUGAUAAAGGUUUCUUAAACUGCAUCAUUGGUUGUUUAUUCCUGUAAUGAUC
ensembl:lncRNA